UGACAACAAGGGGUGGCUGCGUGGUAACGCAAAGCUACCAAAGCAGGUUCCUGCUACUGAGGAGCAGAAGUGGCUCAUUGAGCCCACGGGGAAAGACAAUUGGAUAUAUUCUAAAGGGGUCCGUAUUCCCAACGGCCUCAUCACCGUCUUGCUGAAGUUACACUGGCCGGGGUUGUACUGUCCGGAUCCAUUCAGGCACCCGAACCAUCGGGUCUUGGCCACGAGCUGGGAGCACUGGGAAGCGGCCCUCCACGCGGACCAUGGGACCCAUGCCAAGGCCGUGAUCACCACUUUCUGGAAAUUCUAUCGAGUUCUCCCGGAGCACAGGGCCAGAGCGGACCAGAUCGUGCUGCGCCAAUGCAAGAAGAAGGCCCGCCAGAUGCAGUACGAGGUG